GAAUUAUUCAAACGAAAAACGGGGGAACCAAUGAUAGCAGGGCUGCUUGAAUCGGUGUAAGAGCUGAUUUAGGAACUUUGCUGGGGUGAAUUCUUUGAAGUGGAAUGGCAUUUGCCAUUUGGUGGAUAAGGAAGGGCGGCUCUCACCGUCCGAAUCCGACAGCUAACCUCGUAAGCUAAUA
rnacentral:sRNA from 1 species